AAAAUUAAAACUUUUAACAAUGGAUCUCUUGGUUCUCGUAUCGAUGAAGAACGCAGCGAAACGCGAUAUUUCUUGUGAAUUGCAGAAGUGAAUCAUCAGUUUUUGAACGCACAUUGCACUUUGGGGUAUCCCCCAAAGUAUACUUGUUUGAGCGUUGUUUCUCUC
rnacentral:rRNA from 1 species